rnacentral:rRNA from 1 species
UUGAAAGGGAAACGAUUGAAGUCAGUCGUGCUGGCGCCGAAAUCAACCUUCUCGUCUUGAGAUCACAUGGCGUGGCGAGCCUCAAAACCGUCACGAAGCGUGGAACUCUUGGUGAAAUGGAGCACUUUCGUGUCCGCUGGUUAACAUCAAUUUCGAACGUCAUAAAAAGGCUGGAGGGAUGUGGCUCCUUCGGGAGUGUUAUAACCUUUAGCGGAAUGUGGUGUUCGGGAUUGAGGAUUGCAACGAAUACCUUUAGGGCUGUUCCACCUGGCUUCUCUUUGGAUCCUGGUGACGACAGCUUGCUGACGUCNUUAGGAUUCGCCUUUGAACAGGCAGAGUGUAGCAAAUUCGUUAAGGAUGUUGACGUA